AUGGCUCAGGAUGAACGCUAGCGGCAGGCUUAACACAUGCAAGUCAGGGCAGCAUGAGUACGAGAUUCGUCAAAGUCUUGGAUGGCGACCGGCGCAAGGGUGCGUAACGCGUGAGCAACUUGCCCGUUUCUCGGGGAAUAACCCGGUGGAAACGCCGACUAAUACCCCCAUAGUAUCAGCUUUAGGCAUCUUUAGUUGAUUUAAAGGAUUUAUCGGUAACGGAUGGGGAUGCGUGACAUUAGGUAGAUGGCGGGUAACGGCCCACCAUGCCUACGAUGUCUAGGGGUUCUGAGAGGAAGGUCCCCCACACUGGAACUGAGACACGGUCCAGACUCCUACGGGAGGCAGCAGUGAGGAAUAUUGGUCAAUGGUCGGAAGACUGAACCAGCCAAGUAGCGUGAAGGAUGAAGGUUCUAUGGAUUGUAAACUUCUUUUAUACGGGAAUAAAACCUCCCACGUGUGGGGGCUUGUAUGUACCGUAUGAAUAAGCAUCGGCUAACUCCGUG
rnacentral:rRNA from 1 species